AUGAACGCUGGCGGCGCGCCUAACACAUGCAAGUCGAACGAGCGAGAGGAAGCUUGCUUUCUCGAGCGAGUGGCGAACGGGUGAGUAACGCGUGAGGAACAUGCCUCAAAGAGGGGAACAACAGUUGGAAACGACUGCCAAUACCGCAUAAGCCCACGGGGCGGCAUCGACCAGAGGGAAAAGGACCAAUCCGCUUGGGGAUGGCCUCGGGGCCGAGUAGCGGGUUGGUGGGGUAACGGCCCACCAAGGCGACGAUCGGUAGCCGGACUGAGAGGUUGAACGGCCACAUUGGGACUGAGACACGGCCCAGACUCCUACGGGAGGCAGCAGUGGGGAAUAUUGCACAAUGGGGGAAACCCUGACGCAGCGACGCCGCGUGGAGGAAGAAGGUCUUCGGAUUGUAAACUCCUGUUGUUGAGGAAGAUAAUGACGGUACUCAACAAGGAAGUGACGGCUAACUACGUGCCAGCAGCCGCCGUAA
rnacentral:rRNA from 1 species